UGGGUCAAGCUGCAAGGGUGGCAAUUGGCAGAAGUCGACAUUUCAGCCCUUUGCGUGGAUCUCAAAUCCCUUCCCCUGCUAGCCGAAACCUCUGGGACCUUAGAAGUGAGGUCUGGGGGUACGAGUAAAGAAAGGGAGGUAGUUAGUAUCUAGUCCCACACCCCACAGCCUCCUCUCCUCAUAAGUUGCUUCUCUCUCAAAGCCAUAGGCUGGCCCUCUGGCAGGUAAUAAAGAUGGGGAGGGAGAGACUCCUAUAGUGACCCAAGAAAGAAUGACUAGCCCCUUUCUAUCCCUGUAUGUUUCUCUCUCCGCCUCCCUUCCCUAUUCUCUUUCCUUCCCUCCCUCCCUUUCCUUCUUUCUUCCUUGUUUCCCUUUUAUUUUCCUUCCUCCUUUCUUCUUUCCUCUUACCCUCUUUUCUUCACUUCUCCCGGUCUCUCUAUCUCAUGUUUUCUCAUAUUUUCUCUGUCCCUCUAAUUUGUCUUUACUUUUUUUUACCUUUUUCUUUUUCUGUGCUUUUCUUUUAUCCUAUCUUGCUAUUUCUUUUUGAUAUCCUUUCUCUCUCUCCAUACCUGUCUCUUUUCCUGUCUCUGAUUCUCCCCCUUGUAUAUAGCACUAUUUCCCUCAACUCCAUCUCUCUUCUCUUUCACUGUCCUUCCUCUUUCUUUUAGAAUCUCUCAUUUUAAAAAUGUAUUUGUGUCUUUUUCAGAUGUCUUCCAUUCUCUUAAUCUACUUUCUUUUCUUUUCUCCUUCUCUCUUUAGUAUCUUAUUUUUUCUGUUUCUGGGCAUCCUCUGUUUGAGUCUUUAUCUUCUCUUUUGCUUCUAUCCUUCCUAUCUCUUUCUCUUUCUAUCUGUCUUUCUCAGUAGCUCCUUGAUUCUGUUUCUGGUGUCAUCCUUGACAGACUGAGUGGACAAAGUGACCACUCACUGUACCAGCACAACUCCAAAAUCACUACAAAUUGCAAUGAGCCCUUGGUGAAUUUCUGCGGUUGCAGUGAAGGGAACCUGGAUCAGUGAUGAGCACAGAGGCAGAAAAAGCUGUUUUCCCAGUUAUGGUCUUUUAAGGUGUAUCUGGGGAUGCACAGGGGUUUAAAAUGGUGGGAUGUAAGGGUGCAGUUGGGCAGAUUCAACUAAUUGGCCACCAGUGUUUCUGAAAGAGGUGCUAGAGAGUAAGAAGAAAAUGGCCAAAAUACUGAGCAGAGAGUGGCAAGACUAGAAGGUUACUGAGGAAUCAGUCAAUCAACUAGUAUAGUAGUUAAACACCUACUUACUAUGUGCCAGGCAAUGUGCUAAACACUAGAGCUACAAAGAAAGGUAAAAGAUAGAUCCAGCUCAUGAAGUCUAAUGGGAGUGGGGAAUGAGAGGUGAUAACAUGCAAACAACUAUAUACUAACAAGAUAUAUACCAGACAGAUUGGAGAUAAUCAGCAGAGAGAAGGCAUUAAGAUUAAGGAGGCCUGCGGAAAGAUUUUUGCAGAAGAUUAUGAGAUUUUAGCUUGGAUUUGAAGGAAACCAGGUAAAUGCUCCAGCCAAGCCAUCUUUGUAGAGUAAGCCUGCCACCUGGUGUUACCGCUCUCCAACUACAGGCCUGGGGUCCUUGCAGCUGGUUUUAGCCUAGCUCCCUCUCUGGCCUCGACUCCAAUGGAAAAACUGUGAGCUUUUUGAGGGUAACGGCUGUUUUUGUUCCUUGGUAUUCCCAGCACCAAGCCCAGUGCCUGCCACAAGGAAGAGAGAACCUUAAACCUCCAUCUCGCCAGCCCAGCAAUCACACAGAUGAUCCAAGUAUCUUUGGACAGCCUUUAAUUUAUUUCCCAGCGCACGCAGGCACUGCUGAGAGACUUGAUGGCACCAGCUUAAACAUAAUAAAUUACUCAAGUACCAGAGAUUAGUUAAUAAAGCACCAGGCUCCCUCCUG